UACGAAGGGGGCUAGCGUUGCUCGGAAUUACUGGGCGUAAAGCGCACGUAGGCGGAUUGUUAAGUUAGGGGUGAAAUCCCGGGGCUCAACCCCGGAACUGCCUUUAAUACUGGCAAUCUCGAGUCCGAGAGAGGUGAGUGGAAUUCCGAGUGUAGAGGUGAAAUUCGUAGAUAUUCGGAGGAACACCAGUGGCGAAGGCGGCUCACUGGCUCGGUACUGACGCUGAGGUGCGAAAUCGUGGGGAGCAAACAGG
rnacentral:rRNA from 1 species